GACGCGCGAGCCGGAAGAGGAUGGCGGCGGGCUGCGGCGCGCGGAGGUGGCGGCUGCUGCCGCUGCUGCUGCUGGCCGGGGCGGCGCUGGCUCCGGGGCCGGCCGACGGGGUUGCGUCGGAGCCGGGCCGCUGGAGCCGGACGGCCGGCGGGAACCAAAAGAAACUCUUUGUCUUCUCCAAGACAAUGUUUAAAGGGACUUGGAUUAUUCUCAAAUUUCCCCAUGAAGUCUGCAAAAAUAGGGAAGAGCUGAAUGUGACCUGGUAUCUCCGCAGUUCCCGCUGCCACCAUGAAGCCUACAUAAAUGAAAACGAAGCAUUGACCUACCUGAGCUACCCUGACGUGGAGGCCAGUGCCCUUGGAGACGGCCAGUAUAUCUGGAACGUCACCUUGGUGCAGUGUGGACAGUUGCACAAGGUGCGGAUCCUGCCAUCAAGGGGUGGCCAGAAAAGUGACUGGAAAACCAGAGUAGCCUCGUUGUGGGAGGAGGGGACCCCCGGUUGGCGAACAAGUAGGGGAACUCCUGAUAGAAGAGGCUGUUUGUAGCUCGGGUUGAACUGCGGUGAUCCUUGGGGGUCUCUUGAGUUUGCAGACAUUUCAUGACCCAGCUGGGUAACG
rnacentral:lncRNA from 1 species